UGGGGAAUAUUGCACAAUGGGGGAAACCCUGAUGCAGCGACGCCGCGUGAACGAAGAAGGUAUUCGUAUCGUAAAGUUCUGUCCUAUGGGAAGAUAAUGACAGUACCAUAGAAGAGAGCUCCGGCUAAAUACGUGCCAGCAGCCGCGGUAAUACGUAUGGAGCGAGCGUUGUCCGGAAUUAUUGGGCGUAAAGGGUACGCAGGCGGUUUAAUAAGUCGAAUGUUAAAGAUCGGGGCUCAACCCCGCAAAGCAUUGGAAACUGAUAAACUUGAGUAGUGGAGAGGAAAGUGGAAUUCCUAGUGUAGUGGUGAAAUACGUAGAUAUUAGGAGGAAUACCAGUAGCGAAGGCGACUUUCUGGACACAAACUGACGCUGAGGUACGAAAGCGUGGGGAGCAAACAGG
rnacentral:rRNA from 1 species